UACGAAGGGUGCGAGCGUUGUUCGGAAUUACUGGGCGUAAAGGGUUUGUAGGCUGAAAUAUAAGUCAAGUGUGAAAUCCCCGAGCUAAACUUGGGACGUGCAUUUGAAACUGUGUUUCUUGAGUAUCGUAGAGGGUGGUGGAAUUGUAGGUGUAGGAGUGACAUCCGUAGAGAUCUGCAGGAACAUCAGAGGCGAAGGCGACCACCUGGCCGAUUACUGACGCUGAGGAACGAAAGCGUGGGGAGCAAACAGG
rnacentral:rRNA from 1 species